rnacentral:rRNA from 1 species
GACGAACGCUGGCGGCGUGCUUAACACAUGCAAGUCGAACGGAAAGGCCCUGCUUUUGUGGGGUGCUCGAGUGGCGAACGGGUGAGUAACACGUGAGUAACCUGCCCUUGACUUUGGGAUAACUUCAGGAAACUGGGGCUAAUACCGGAUAGGAGCUCCUGCUGCAUGGUGGGGGUUGGAAAGUUUCGGCGGUUGGGGAUGGACUCGCGGCUUAUCAGCUUGUUGGUGGGGUAGUGGCUUACCAAGGCUUUGACGGGUAGCCGGCCUGAGAGGGUGACCGGCCACAUUGGGGAAGGGAAACCGCCCAAGCCCCCAAGGGGGGCAAGAGGGGGGAAAUAUGGAAAAGGGGGGGAAGGCGUGAGGAAACACGGCGGGGGGGGGAAGAAGGCCUUGGGGGUUGAAACCCUUUUCCCCUGGGAAGAAGGGGGAGGGAAGGGAAUGGGUAAAGAAGCAACGGCUAAACAAC